GUGAAUCAUCGAAUUUUUGAACGCAAAUUGCACUCUCUGGUAUUCCGGAGAGUAUGCCUGUUUGAGUGUCAGUUUAAAUAAAAAUCGGUGUGGUUGCUGCCUUUCGUGGUGACGCACCGGAUUUGGGUCGUCUUGACUUCGGUUAAGUGAGCUAACAUUUUGCAUGCUUUUUUUGGAACGUAUUUAAAUGAUUUUACGUACAUUUGCGAUCUAUCAUAUUCGGUUU
rnacentral:misc_RNA from 1 species